AGGUGUGAGAGACUAGCUUUGGGUGGUUUCAGGAGGAGUAGGGGUAGACCGAAGAAAUAUUGGAGGGAGAUGAUUAGGCAUAACAUGGAACAGCUACACCUUACUGAGGACAUGACUCUAGACAGAAAGGUGUGGAGAGCGCGGAUAAGGGUAGAAGGCUAGUGUGAGGGUGUGGGUUGUAGCAAGGUGUUAGGAGAGCGCUAGUGUAGUUGGAUUAGUAACCCUAGGACUGUGUCCUAAUCAAGAGAGAUUGGGUGUGGUGGGUGUCUCUGGGC
rnacentral:lncRNA from 1 species